rnacentral:rRNA from 1 species
GAUGAACGCUAGCGGCAGGCUUAAUACAUGCAAGUCGAACGGUAAGUGUUGUAGCAAUAUAACACCAAGAGUGACGUACGGGUGCGUAACACGUAUGCAACCUACCCUUUACAGGAGGAUAGCUCGGGGAAACUCGAAUUAACCCUCCAUAAUAUAAUUGGAUGGCAUCAUUUGAUUAUUAAAACUCAGGUGGUAAAGGAUGGGCAUGCGUCUGAUUAGUUAGUUGGCGGGGUAAUGGCCCACCAAGACGAUGAUCAGUAGGGGACCUGAGAGGGUGGUCCCCCACACUGGCAAUGAGAUACGGGCCAGACUCCUACGGGAGGCAGCAGUAGGGAAUAUUGGUCAAUGGAUGCAAGUCUGAACCAGCCAUGCCGCGUGCAGGAAGAAGGCCUUCUGGGUUGUAAACUGCUUUUGCCAGGGGAUAAAAUGUCUGUGCGCAGAUAAUUGAAGGUACCUGGUGAAUAAGCCACGGCUAACUACGUGCCAGCCGCCGCUGUAAUAC